UCCGAGUUGACCCCGGCAGUCUCCUAUGAGUCCCCACCAUCACGUGCUGGCAACAUAGAACGAGGGUUGCGCUCGUUGCGGGACUUAACCCAACAUCUCACGACACGAGCUGACGACAGCCAUGCAGCACCUGUGUUCGAGUUCCCGAAGGCACCAAUCCAUCUCUGGAAAGUUCUCGAUAUGUCAAGGCCAGGUAAGGUUCUUCGCGUUGCAUCGAAUUAAACCACAUACUCCACCGCUUGUACGGGCCCCCGUCAAUUCCUUUGAGUUUUAGCCUUGCGGCCGUACUCCCCAGGCGGGGCACUUAAUGCGUUAGCUUCGGCACGGAGAACGUGGAAUGUCCCCCACACCUAGUGCCCACCGUUUACGGCGUGGACUAC
rnacentral:misc_RNA from 1 species